rnacentral:rRNA from 1 species
UGGCAAGCGUUGUCCGGAUUUAUUGGGCGUAAAGCGAGUGCAGGCGGUUCUAUAAUUUUUAUGUGAAAGCCUUUGGCUCAACCGGAGAAUUGCAUCAGAAACUGUUGAACUUGAGUGCAGAAGAGGAGAGUGGAACUCCAUGUGUAGCGGUGGAAUGCGUAGAUAUAUGGAAGAACACCAGUGGCGAAGGCGGCUCUCUGGUCUGCAACUGACGCUGAGGCUCGAAAGCAUGGGUAGCGAACA